rnacentral:rRNA from 1 species
GACGAACGCUGGCGGCGUGCUUAACACAUGCAAGUCGAACGAAGAGCGACGGAAGCUUGCUUCUAUCAAUCUUAGUGGCGAACGGGUGAGUAACGCGUAAUCAACCUGCCCUUCAGAGGGGGACAACAGUUGGAAACGACUGCUAAUACCGCAUACGAUCUAAUCUCGGCAUCGAGGAUGGAUGAAAGGUGGCCUCUACAUGUAAGCUAUCACUGAAGGAGGGGAUUGCGUCUGAUUAGCUAGUUGGAGGGGUAACGGCCCACCAAGGCGAGGAUCAGUAGCCGGUCUGAGAGGAUGAACGGCCACAUUGGGACUGAGACACGGCCCAGACUCCUACGGGAGGCAGCAGUGGGGAAUCUUCCGCAAUGGACGAAAGUCUGACGGAGCAACGCCGCGUGAGUGAUGACGGCCUUCGGGUUGUAAAGCUCUGUUAAUCGGGACGAAAGGCCUUCUUGCGAAUAGUGAGAAGGAUUGACGGUACCGGAAUAGAAAGCCACGGCUAACUACGUG